AAUAGCCUAACGGCUGAACCAGCAACUUGGAGGAAUGUAUAGCGAAAGCUAGUUGUAUUAAUUAUUAAUGCAGCAAUGACUACGUCAUGUAAAAUUCUAGGUAUAGUUAUGAUAAUGACAUUUUAUACCUAUAUGUCUUGACCAAUUCACGUGCCAGCAGUCGCGGUAACACGUGUAAGACUAGUGUUAUUCAUCUUAAAUAGGUUUAAAGGGUACCUAGACAGUAAAUUAAGCCUGAAAAAGGGACUGAUUUUUACUAGAGUUUCACAGAAGGGGGGGAGUACGACUGAGUGUAGUGAUGAAAUACAGUGAUACCUGUCGGGACAGGCAACGGCGAAAGCAACCUUUUAUGUAUUAACUGACGUUGAGGGACGAAGGCUCAGGACACCAACAGGAUUCGAUACCCCAGCAGUCUUUGCAGACAAUGAUGAAUGUCAUACAUAAGAAAUAAAACAUAUCGUUUACGAUCUUUACUUAAGACCUGCUUAAUACCAGAACACUGCUAAAGGGAGAUAGAUAAAAGGUUUUAGUUUUUUUUUGUAUAAAUGAAAGUGUAAGCAUUCCACCUCAUGAGUAAUGUGGCAACGCAGAAACUGAAAUCAUUAGACCGUUUCUGAAACCAGUAGUGAAGUAUGUUAUUUAAUUUGACGACACGCAAAAAACCUCACCACAACUUGAAUAUUUUUAUAUUUUUAUAUUUAUACAAGCGUUGCACGGCUGUCUUCAGUUAAUGUUGUGAGAUUAUGGUUAGUACCAUCAAAUUAACGUAAACCCUUACUUUAUUUUUUUUAACAUAGAGUAGUUCACCGCUUUAUUGUUGGGGAUAUAAGGGACUAAGACAAGUCAUCAUGGCCUUAAUAUUGUGGGCCAUAGACGUGCUGCAUAAACCUUAACAAAGAGAUGCGAAAUUGUGAAAUUAAGCUAAUCUCCGAAAAUAGGAUAUAUUUU
rnacentral:rRNA from 1 species